rnacentral:rRNA from 1 species
AUGCACAUGAUGGCGAGGCGAGAGCGAGAUGUGGAUUUUUUCUUCAAGUACUUGGUAGACGAGCAUGGCCAUCUGAAGGGACUGUUCUGGGCUGAUAGUCAAUCGCGACUUUACUACGAGGCUUUCAGAGACGUCAUUGUUUUCGAUAGCACAUACAGAACCAACAAAUACAAUCUGCCAUUCGUGCCUUUUGUCGGGUUGAAUCACCACCGCAGCACUGUUAUAUUUGGUUGUGGUAUAAUUUCUCAUGAAACAAGCCAGGCAUACGAGUGGAUGUUGCGGACCUUUUCUGAUUGCAUGGCACAGAAGCAUCCGAUAUCUAUGAUCACAGAUGGGGACCUUGCAAUGCAGAGAGCAAUAAGAGUGGCCUGGCCAGACUCAAACCAUAGACUAUGUAUAUGGUACAUUCAGCAGAACAUUGUACGCCAUCUGCAUGAUGACGACGUAAAGGAGGAAUUCAGAUCUUUCAUUUAUGAUACUUCUUCCAUUGAAGAGCAUGAGAUAAAAUGGAUACAAUUCUUACAACGGAAUAAAGUAACCAGUGAGGAGUCUUGGCUGCAUCAGAUGUAUCAGAUGAGAAAGUUGUGGUGUGUUCCAUAUCUUGAGGGGCGUUGUUUCCUAGGAUUGAGCAGCAAUCAGAGGAGUGAGAGCUUGAACUCUAUGCUACAUACGCAUCUUGAGGGUAAGAUGUCGUUGUUUGAAAUGCUAGAGCACUAUGAGUGUUGCCUUGCGUUGCGACGGAUUAACGAAGCUCUCCAUGACGUCGAAGCCUUGCAGUCUGUUCCAUUUACAGAGGAAAAUGCUUCGCCGCUUGAGAAACACGCCGCAACAGUUUUCACACCUAGUGUCUUUAAGAUGGUCUUAUGGAGCAUAGAUGCUGUCAGCAAAUGUCAGAUUAGAGAGAUACUAGAUGGAUUAGAAGAUCCCACUUAUGUUGUGUCCAAGCAGGAAAGAAUGGAUAAAAAGUUUGGAGUGUGCAUUGAAGAGCAAGGAGGUCUUUUGCACAGGGUGAGUUGUUCUUGCCGUAAGCUGGAAUGCGCAGGCACACCAUGUUCCCACAUUUUUUACAUAUUGGGGAUUUUAAAACAAGCAAUUCUGCCCGGUUGUUGCGUUCCCACUAGGUGGACCAUGAAUGCAAAAUGUGCAUACGCACCUACCAGAAAAAACCAGAUGUAUGACUAUUCGGUAAGCCUGCAGAGGUACCGCGAGUUGCGGAAUUGUAGUCACGCCGCAAGUUUCCAGGCAUGCCACUCUGAUGAGGACUAUCACCGUCUAAAGAUGCUUUUGCAAGCACAACAUCAUGGCAAGCAAUCAAGUUUUGAACAAGCUGACAGCAAGGAGUCAACUAAUGCUCAGCAUAACAGCAUUAGGUUUGGCCCGUUGAUGCCGCACUCGCAGAAAGUUGAUAAGGUUCUGGAUCCCGUGCAUGUGCCAGGACGAGGUGCACCGAAGAAAAGGCUGCAGGCAAAGACAAAGAAGUCAAGAUCACAAAAUAUUUGUGGCUAUUGCAAGAAACCAGGUCACAAUCGACGUAAAUGC